CAGAUCAAAUGCUUGCAACACUCCUGAUGUUUCUUUAGGAACUUCCAUCACACUUUCUACAGCUUUGGGACUAUAUUUCAUUUUUGCCUUGUAUAAUUUACUGGAUUAUGGCUGUAUGCAAUGAGAAUCUGGCAAACAGUCUAUUUAUGUCAGAGAAGGAGACAAUCACCAAGUGUUGGAUUAAGGGGAGUCAUGAAGAAAAGUUGCAGACUUCUCUAGGCUGCUUGUGAAAACCAUGUCAAAUAUCCAUCAGAGUUUAUCCGACCACCUUCUCCUGCUCUUCUGACAUCUCACGCCCAAUCAUCAACGUCGCGAUACGCCAAAAUGUCCCGUCGCAAGUGCAACUUCCACUGCUUCAAUGCAGUUGGAGGAGAAGGCUCUCACAAGUCCUCUCACCCUUUAGAUCAUCACAUCACCCGGCUACCAAAGAUAUCGCAGCAUGGCAUGGGGGCCUAUCAUGAAUUAGAUCAGGAAUGCUGUCUUUGCUCCGCAUGUCGACACGCGCACACGUUAGACGAUGUAGAGAACCAGCUGUUGCCUUUCUACCACGCACACCCACCAUA